AGCCUACGGGGCGCAGCAGUGGGGAAUAUUGCACAAUGGGGGAAACCCUGAUGCAGCGACGCCGCGUGAAGGAAGAAGUAUUUCGGUAUGUAAACUUCUAUCAGCAGGGAAGAAAAUGACGGUACCUGACUAAGAAGCCCCGGCUAACUACGUGCCAGCAGCCGCGGUAAUACGUAGGGGGCAAGCGUUAUCCGGAUUCACUGGGUGUAAAGGGAGCGUAGACGGCCAAGCAAGCCAGGGGUGAAAGCCCGGGGCCCAACCCCGGGACUGC
rnacentral:rRNA from 1 species